rnacentral:lncRNA from 1 species
CCUGAGUACCAGCUUCUCUUGCCUGGACAAGCACCAUGGUGCCCAGUAGGUCUUCCUGCCCCACUCCCACCACAUACCCCCUUCCAACUUCUGGUUCAUUCCUCCCACUAGGUCAGAGUGAUUUUUCAAAAAACUAUAUAUUUGGACAUUUCCCUCUUUUCCUUAAAAGCCUUCAGUGAUCAACCACAGUUUUUAGGGGAAAAGCUCCCCCCACCCACACCACCCCAUUCCUUUUUUUGGGGGGAGGGGGUACUGGGAUUGAAUCGGGCGAUGCUUAACCCCUAAGCCACAUCCCUCAACUUUUUAAUGUUUUAUUUUGAGACAGGGUCUCACUAAGUUGCUUAGGGCCUCACGGAAUUGCUGGGGCUGGUCUCGAACUUGUGAUCCUCCUGCCUCAGCCUCCUGAGUUGCAGGGAUUACAGGCAUGUGCCCACCAUGCCUGGCCAGGGAAAAGCUUGUUUUUAAUGAACCCCACAAGGCCCUGUGGUCUCUAUCCCCCAGUCAUGCCAGAUCCGUUUACAUUUCUGGAACAACACAAGUCUCUUACAACCUCGGGGCAGUCACAUGUGGCCAGAACUAUUCUUCAGUUAGAUUCUUCCUGGAUGACUUCUCGUCCUUUAGUUUCCAACCAAAAUGUCACUUCCUCAAAGGGGAGCCCUAUGUGGAUUCUCUUCCUCUACUAGGUUAGGUCCUUCCAUUAUGCAUUUUUUUUUAUGGUAGGGGGGUCCACUCUCCUUAAUUAUAAUUUUUUUUCACGUGUGAAAGGGAGGUUAGGUUUGUAAACCCAUGUUUAUUGUGGGUCAGUCACAAUAGCCCAAAGGUAGAAGCAAGCCAAGGGUCUAUCAGUGGAUAAAUGGAUAAACAAAAUGUGUUAUAUAUAUAUAUAUAUAUAUAUAUAUAUAUAUAUAUAUAUAUAUAUAUAUAUAUAUACAUACAGUGGAAUAUUAUUUAGCUCCAAAAAGGGAGACAAUCCUGGUACAGAGUUCUACUACCAUGUGGAUGAUUAUCAUGUGGUAUCUCCACACAGCCUUCCUCUUGGGCCCUUUGGGGACAGACUCUGAAUUCUCAUAGUCAUAUGCACUUCUUGGCUCCAUGCCAGGGAUAGAGCAGUUUCUCAACAAAUUUAUGAGAGAAGGAGGAGAUUUGUAAACAUGCAAAGCAGAGCACAGGUUAGGGAGUCCAUGGCCCCAAGAGCCUGGUUUCUGCCUGUUCGAUGCCAGAAUCUGAAAAGCUCUGCCGUCCCUGCCCUAGUUGUCUGUGAAGUCCAGACUUGUAAUUAAAAUUCCUCUGCUUGAGGUGGCCUGAGCCUCCCUCUCCCUGGAGAGCUGGAACCUGGGCUUCUCCCUCUCCAAACCCCCCUUGAGGCCUUUCAGACAACAGUAUAGACCACAACACACACUCCUGAAGUCACCCUGUUAUAAACCAGGCACUCUCAUCUAAUCUUCAUUGCCACCUCCUGGAGAGAGAGUGGGGGACGGUGACACUGAUCCCCACGUGAGAAUCCCAGGCCAGAAUAGGAAGGAACAAAGGUCCCAUUCAAACCUGUGUGGAGAGUGACGACGGUCUUUCUGACUCUCUCUCGGCUGCGUUUGCUCUGGGAACUCCCUGUGUGAAGGUGCAGGUCAAGAUAGCCCAGUUGCUAUGGUGAUGCCCGGCCAGAGGAGGCACGUGGGCUGUGUGCGAAGUUGAGCAGCUGUGUCAGUCGGAACCCUGAGCUCAGUCACCAACUCCUGGGAACAGAGAAUUCUGGGCAUAACAAGGUAACUCCAAUGACUCGCCAGUCCUGUGUCCUGCAGAUGGAUCGCCUGCUCUGCUAAAACUUUCCCACAAAUAACCUUUUGGGGAAACCUAUUUAAUAAACAUGCAAGCUAGCUCUGGAUCUGUCAAACUCCAC